UAUAGUAUACUUAGAUCGGACCGAAGGUGGCGUAGUUCUAGGUUUUCUAGGUCUAAAAUUUCGAGUUUGGUGGCAUAAGGUAUUCUGCACUGAGUAGAGGAGCGGAGAACUCUUCUUAUGAAAUAUUUCUGGACUUUCUCAACUGUGUUAAUAUCUGAUAGGUAAUGCGGGUUCCAGUCUGAUGAGCCAUAUUCGAGCAUUGGUCUAGCAAAUGUUUUGUAUGCUUUAGUUAUUAGUGUAAUAUUACCAGAGAAAAAGCUACGUAGGAUUAGAUUUACAAUUCUUAAUGCCCUUUUGGCAAUGGUGUU